CUGGAAAUCUUCAAGAGGAGACUGGACAGUCACCUUGCUGGGGUCACCUGACCCCAGUUGUCUUUCCUGCUUACUGCAGGGGGACUGAACCCGAUAAUCUUCAAGGCUCCUUCCAGC